rnacentral:rRNA from 1 species
GGGCCCGCACAAGCGGUGGAGCAUGUGGUUUAAUUCGAAGAUACGCGCAGAACCUUACCAACACUUGACAUGUUCGUCGCGACUCUAAGAGAUUAGAGUUUUCGGUUCGGCCGGACGAAACACAGGUGCUGCAUGGCUGUCGUCAGCUCGCGUCGUGAGAUGUUGGGUUAAGUCCCGCAACGAGCGCAACCCUCACUUUUAGUUGCCAUCAUUAAGUUGGGCACUCUGAAAGAACUGCCAGUGAUAAGCUGGAGGAAGGUGGGGAUGACGUCAAGUCCUCAUGGCCCUUACGUGUUGGGCUACACACGUGCUACAAUGGUAUCUACAACAGGAAGCAAAACUGCGAAGUUAAGCAAAUCCCUAAAAGAUACCUCAGUUCGGAUUGCACUCUGCAACUCGAGUGCAUGAAGCUGGAAUC